rnacentral:rRNA from 1 species
CCUACGGGUGGCAGCAGUGGGGAAUAUUGCGCCAUGGAGGCAACUCUGAUCCAGCAACGCCGCGUGAAGGAAGAAGGCCUUAGGGUUGUAAACUUAUGUUGUAAAGGAAGAAAAGAAUGACGGUACUUUAAUAGAAAGCACCGGCUAACUAUGUGGCAGCAGCUGCGGUAAGACAUAGGGGGCAAGCGUUGUGCGUAAUUACUGGGAGAAAAGGGAGCGUAGGCGGGAGAUUAAGUUAAGAGUGAAAGCCUUGGGCUCAACCCACGAAAUGCUCUUGAUACUGGUUUUCUAGAGUGUGGGAGAGGUAAGUGGAAUUCCUAGUGUAGCGGUAGAAUGCGUAGAUAUUAGGAGGAACAUCAGAGGCGAAGGCGGCUUACUGGACCAUAACUGACGCUGAGGCUCGAAAGCGUGGGGAGCAAACAGGAUUAGAUACCCGAGUAGUC